CAGCAGCCACGGUAACACAGAGGGUGCGAGCGUUAAUCGGAUUUACUGGGCGUAAAGCGUGCGUAGGCGGCUUCUUAAGUCGGAUGUGAAAUCCCUGAGCUUAACUUAGGAAUUGCAUUCGAUACUGGGAAGCUAGAGUAUGGGAGAGGAUGGUAGAAUUCCAGGUGUAGCGGUGAAAUGCGUAGAGAUCUGGAGGAAUACCGAUGGCGAAGGCAGCCAUCUGGCCUAAUACUGACGCUGAGGUACGAAAGCAUGGGGAGCAAACAGGAUUAGAUACCCCAGUAGUCCCUGUCUCUUAUAC
rnacentral:rRNA from 1 species